rnacentral:rRNA from 1 species
GACGAACGCUGGCGGCGUGCUUAACACAUGCAAGUCGAACGGAAAGGCCCUUCGGGGUACUCGAGUGGCGAACGGGUGAGUAACACGUGGGUGAUCUGCCCUGCACUUUGGGAUAAGCCUGGGAAACUGGGUCUAAUACCGGAUAGGACCCUGGGAUGCAUGUCCUGGGGUGGAAAGCUUUUGCGGUGUGGGAUGGGCCCGCGGCCUAUCAGCUUGUUGGCGGGGUGAUGGCCUACCAAGGCGACGACGGGUAGCCGGCCUGAGAGGGUGACCGGCCACACUGGGACUGAGAUACGGCCCAGACUCCUACGGGAGGCAGCAGUGGGGAAUAUUGCACAAUGGGCGCAAGCCUGAUGCAGCGACGCCGCGUGAGGGAUGACGGCCUUCGGGUUGUAAACCUCUUUCAGCACCGACGAAGCGCAAGUGACGGUAGGUGCAGAAGAAGGACCGGCCAACUACGUGCCAGCCGCCGCAGUAA